rnacentral:rRNA from 1 species
UGGGGAAUCUUCCGCAAUGGACGAAAGUCUGACGGAGCAACGCCGCGUGUAUGACGAAGGCCUUCGGGUUGUAAAGUACUGUCUUUGGGGACGAAACGGCAGGUGUGAGAAUAUUGCACUUGCAUGACGGUACCCAAGGAGGAAGCCCCGGCUAACUACGUGCCAGCAGCCGCGGUAAUACGUAGGGGGCGAGCGUUGUCCGGAAUCAUUGGGCGUAAAGGGCGCGUAGGCGGGUCAUUAAGUCUGGUGUGAAAGGCAGGGGCUCAACCCUGGAAGGCACCGGAAACUGGUUAUCUUGAGGACAGGAGAGGAAAGCGGAAUUCCACGUGUAGCGGUGAAUGCGUAGAUAUGUGGAGGAACACCAGUGGCGAAGGCGGCUUUCUGGACUGUAACUGACGC